rnacentral:rRNA from 1 species
UAGGGAAUCUUCGGCAAUGGACGGAAGUCUGACCGAGCAACGCCGCGUGAGUGAAGAAGGUUUUCGGAUCGUAAAGCUCUGUUGUUAGAGAAGAACGUUGGUAGGAGUGGAAAAUCUACCAAGUGACGGUAACUAACCAGAAAGGGACGGCUAACUACGUGCCAGCAGCCGCGGUAAUACGUAGGUCCCGAGCGUUGUCCGGAUUUAUUGGGCGUAAAGCGAGCGCAGGCGGUUCUUUAAGUCUGAAGUUAAAGGCAGUGGCUUAACCAUUGUACGCUUUGGAAUGUGGCGGAGUUGAGUGCAGAAGGGGAGGGUGGAAUUCCGGGGAUAACGGUGAAAUGCGUAGAUAUAUGGAGGAAAACCGGUGGCGAAAGCGGCUCUCUGGUCUGUAACUGACGCUGAGGCUCAAAAGCGUGGGGGGCAAUCAGG